rnacentral:rRNA from 1 species
UACGAAGGGGCUAGCGUUGCUCGGGAAUGACUGGGCGUAAAGGGCGCGUAGGCGGAUGGCACAGUCAGAUGUGAAAUUCCUGGGCUUAACCUGGGGCUGCAUUUGAUACGUGUGAUCUAGAGUGAGGAAGAGGGUUGUGGAAUUCCCAGUGUAGAGGUGAAAUUCGUAGAUAUUGGGAAGAACACCGGUGGCGAAGGCGGCGACCUGGUCCUUAACUGACGCUGAGCGCGAAAGCGUGGGGAGCAAACAGG